rnacentral:rRNA from 1 species
ACCGAAUAGAUACCCUGGUAGUCCACGCCGUAAACUAUGAACGCUAGCCGUUGGCGAGCUUGCUCGUCAGUGGCGCAGCUAACGCAUUAAGCGUUCCGCCUGGGGAGUACGGCCGCAAGGUUGAAACUCAAAGAAAUUGACGGGGGCCCGGCACAAGCGGUGGAGCAUGUGGUUUAAUUCGACGCAACGCGCAGAACCUUACCAGGGUUUGACAUCCCGAGACCGCUGCUGAAAGGCAGUUUCCCGCAAGGGCUCGGAGACAGGUGCUGCAUGGCUGUCGUCAGCUCGUGUCGUGAGAUGUUGGGUUAAGUCCCGCAACGAGCGCAACCCUCGCCUUUAGUUGCCAUCAUUAAGUUGGGCACUCUAGAGGGACCGCCGGCGACAAGCCGGAGGAAGGUGGGGAUGACGUCAAGUCCUCAUGGCCCUUACACCCUGGGCUACACACGUGCUACAACGGCGGUUGACAGUGAGCAGCUAACUCGCGAGAGUAUGCUAAUCUCCAAAAA